rnacentral:snRNA from 1 species
AUGCUUGCUUUGGCAGCACAUAUACUAAAAUGGGAUAUGAUACAGAGAAGAUUAGCUUCUUCACAAGGAUGACAUGGAAAUUCAUGAAGAAUUCCGUAUUUUU